rnacentral:rRNA from 1 species
AAGCCGUUCUCAGUUCGGAUCGGAGUCUGCAACCCGACUCCGUGAAGCUGGAUUCGCUAGUAAUCGCGCAUCAGCCAUGGCGCGGUGAAUACGUUCCCGGGCCUUGUACACACCGCCCGUCAAGCCAUGGAAGCCGGGGGCGCUUGAAGUGCGUUGCCGCAAGGCGCGCCCUAGAGCGAAACCGGUGACUGGGGCUAAGUCGUAACAAGGUACC